ensembl:lncRNA
AUCUAAGAAAAUAUUGCUAUAAUUUAUGUCAGAGAAUGUUUUGCCUAGUUCUAUUCUAGGAGUCUUAGGGUCUUUAUAAUUAAAAAAAAAAAAUUAUGCUUUUUAGAGCCACACCCAUGGCAUAUAGAAUUUCCCAGGCUAGGGUUUGAAUUGGAGCUAGAGCCACCAGCCUAUACCACAGCCAUAGCAAUGAGGGAUACGAGCCAUGUCUGUGACCUACACCAUAGCUCAUGGCAAUGCUGGAUCCCACUGAGCAAGGCAAGCGAUUGAACCCACAUCUUCAUGGAUAGUAGUCGUUUCCACUGCACCACAGUAGGAACUCUGAGUGUUUUGAUUACUAUAGUUCUUCACUGUGAAAUCUGGAAGAGUUAUGCCUCCAGCUUUUUUUUGUUUUUUUCUACAAUAUCACUUUGGAAAUUCUUGGUCUUUAAUGGCUCCAUAAAAUCAUAGGAUUAUUUGUUGUAAUUUUAGGAUUAUUUGUAAAAAAUAUCAUGGGUAGUUCAAUAGACAUCACGUUAAAUCUCUAGAUUGCUUUGAGUAGUAUGACCAUUUUAAUAAUAUUAAUUCUUCCAGUCCCCAAAUAUGGAAUAUCUUCCCAUUUCUUUGAAUCAUCUUCAGUUUCCUUUAUCAGUGUUUUAGUUUUUAGCAAAUAGGUCUUUCACCUUCCUAGUUAAGUUUAUUUCUAGGUAAUUUUUAAUAUAAUUUUAAAGGGAAUGUACAUUUUUCUACUUUCUUUGUCUGAUAUUUCAUUGUUAGUGGAAAAAAAUUAAACUGAUUUCUGUAUUUUAAUUUGUAUCCUUCAACCUUGCUGAAUUCAUCUGUUAGUUCUAAUAGCCUUUGUGUGGAGACUUUAGGGUUCUCUAUUUAGAAUAUUGUGUCAUCUCCAAAUAGUGACAGUUUUACCUCUUUCCUAUCAUUUAGGAUACACUUUCUUUUACUUGUCUUAUAACUGAAGUUAGAACCUCCAAUACUGUAUUGAAUGGAAAUGGUGAGAGUAGGCAUCCUUGUAUUUUUCCCGAAUAUAGCAGGAAGACUUUCAGCUUUUCACCAUCAAAUAUUCUUUGGGCUAUAGGUUUGUGGUAAAUGGCUUUUAUUAUGUUAAGAUAUAUUCCUUCUGUAACCAUUUGGGUGAGAAUUUUAAUCCUGAAUAGAUGUUGAAUUUUGUUGAAUGCUUUUUCUGACUCUAUUAAGAUGAUCAUGUGGUUUUCGUCUUUCCUUUUGUUAAUAUGGUGUAUCUCAUUGAUUUAGCAUAUGUUCAAACAGUCUUAUAACCCUGCAGUGAAUCCAACUUAAUCAUGGUGUCUGAUCCUUUUUAUAUAUUGUUAGAUUUUGUGUGAUAACAUUUUGUUGAAGAUUUUUGCAUCUAUAUUCAUCAAAGAUAUUUACCUGUAAUUUUUUUGUAGUGCCUUUGGAUUUGGUAUCAAGGUAAUGGUGGCUUUAUAAAAAGAAUGUUGGGGUAUAACCUCCUCUUAAAUUUUUUGGAGUUGUUUGAGAAGGAUAGGUAUGAUAUCUUUGUGUGUUUGGUAGAAUUCCCUAGUGAAGCCACCUAGUCUUGGACUUUUGUUUGGAAGGAUUUACUUUUAUUUCAGAUUCUAUUUCACUUCUAAUGAUCAUUCUGUUCAAAUGAUCUGUUUCUUCUUUAGUUAGUCUUGACAGGUUGUAUUUUUAUAGAAAUUUGUCCAUUUCUGCUGGGUUCUCCAACUUUUUGUCAUAUAACUGUUCAUAGUAUUAUCUUAUGACUUUUUGAAUCUCUUUUAUAAUGGCUGUUAUUUCUCUUUCAUUUCUUAUUUUGUUUAUUUGGGAUCUCUUCUUGUUAGCAUGGCUAAAGGAUUGAAAAUUUUAUCAACUAGCUAUUUCAAAAAACUAGCUCUUGGUAUCAUUGAUCUUUUCUAUUUUUUUAACCUCUAUUUUAUUUAUUUCCUCUCUGGUCUUUAUUAUUUUCUUCUUUCCUCUGAGUUUGUGCUUUAUUUGUUCUUCUUCUGCUAAUUGUUUUAGGAGGUAGGUUAGAUUGUUUGAGAUUUUUCUUGUUUCUUAAGGGAGGCCUGAAUCAAUUAUCAACUUCCUGUUAGAACUGCUUUUCUGCAUUCCAUAGAUUUUGUAUGGUUGUAUUUACUUUUUGUUUUUUUAAGGUAUUUUCUGAUUUUUUCUUGGAUUUCAUUGGUGACCCAUUGGUUUUUUUGUAGCAUGUUAUUUAGUCUCCACAUAUUUGUCCUUUGCCCAUUUUUUUUCCUCAGUGGAUUUCUAGAUUUAUAACAUUAUGGUCAGGAAAGAUGCAUGAGAUAAAUGGUAUCCUCUUAACUGUGUUGAGGCUUGUUUUGUCAACUCGUGUGUGGUUUAUCCUGGAGAAUGUUACCUGAACUCUUGAAAAAUAUAUGUAUUAUACUUAUUUUAGAUAUAGCUCCCUAUAGAUAUAAAUGAAGCCCAACUAGUCUACUGUGUCAUUUAGAACCUCUGUUGCCUUAUCGAUUUUCUGUCUGCAUGAGCUGUCCAUAGAUACAGUGGGGUGUUGAUGUCUCCUAUUAUUACUGUCUUCUUGUCUAUUUCUCCCUUGAUGUCUGUUAGUAUUUGCUUUUUAUAUUUAGGUGCACCUGUAUUGGGUGAAUAUGUUAAUGAAUAAAAUACCCUUUUCUUAUUUCAAUCCCUUUAUCAUUAUGUAAUACCCAUCUAUGUCUGUCUUUAUGGCUUUUGUUUUAAAGCCAAUUUUUUCUGAUAUGAGUACCAUUACCCAACUUUCUUAUAAUUUUUAUUUGCACAGAAUAUCUUUUUCCAUCUCCUUACUUUCAGUAUGCCAAUGGGGGAGGUUUGGUUGAUUUAUAAUGCAGAUAGCCAAUGCACAGCAGUGGAGAGAAAGGAGGCCAAAGAGCAGAAAAAAAUUGAUUUAAUUUUGCUUAUUCUGUUAUAAAAUAUGUACUUUAUUUCACAGUUGUCCCAUUUUGAUCGUUAAUUUUUUUGAUAGAAAGUAUCAGGUGAUCAAAUACCCUCAGUGCCAGGGUGGCUGCUUGCCUGCCCUAGGAUCCAUCGUGUCCCUCUACACUGGUCCUGAUUGCCUGGUCCACUCCUUCUGGGGGAGUUGUACUACCAGAAUGUUCAAGGACUGACAUUUAAUUCUAUGUUGUCCAAAAAGAGUUAAGCCAAUUUCGCUCAUAGGUGCAUUGUGUAUGUCCAUUAUUUUAUAGAAAACUACAGACAUGAUCUAGUUUCAAAUUGUUUAGAUAUCAUUAUCUUAGUGUGAGUAGCAACAAUGUGAAAGGCAAUAAACUAUCCUCUUAUAAGUUCCACAAACUGUAAUUUAAAUUUGUAGUAGGAACAAUUGCAUCAUUAACAAUCUUUAAACUAAAAUGUUCCCAAACCAAACCAUUUUCCUAAUGUUUUCCCUCAGUGGGGAAGAGGGUGGUCCAGAGCAAAAACUGACACUUCAUGGGUGGUAAUAUGAAUUAACAAAUAUUGUGCCCAAGUGGUCAUAACAUUGGAAAACUGCUUAUUCACAUUACAGAUUGACAUCAGGGGCUGUUUCUGAGUCUACCCAUAGAUUACCUUGAGCCCAAGGGAGGAAGUUUAUGUAUCUUCCUAACAAAUAUGGAAAGAAUGAAUGUCAUAAACUUGUUCUGUAAUUCCAUGGGUUCCAGUUAGGAGGUACCCAAUAUUCAACAUCUAAUGAAAAGAACUAUUGAUGGCAAAGUUCAGAAAAGGAAUCAUUAACUGGCUGGGUAAGAGAGUCUCACUUAGUGACAUUGGUGUUGAUAUUGGCUUGCACAAUGCUAGAUUUUCUUUCUUUUAAAAUAAAAUAUCUAAGGACCAUCCAAUUACAGACCUGGAAAGGAGAAAUCCACCAAUAUGGGAGUACUGGACAUAGAUAAAUGGCCGCAAGCCCAGAAAUUGGAUUGAUUUUUAAAAUUGCAUAUGAUUGAACCCAGGAAAUACAUUUGAUUCACAUGCACAAAAGUGAGAGCAACUGUCGAAAUAACUAGUAUAUAGUCCUGAUACAGCAUCUUGGGUCAGCUGUUUGCCUAAGAUGUGUCUUUUUCUUAUACUAGUCUGGUAAUGCUGGUCUUAGUCAAAGUCAGAAACAGGAAUUACAUUUCAUUCAGGAGACGCCUGAUAUAUUCCCUUGCAAUGUGACUGUAAAGAAUCCUC